UACGAAGGGGGCUAGCGUUGCUCGGAAUCACUGGGCGUAAAGCGCACGUAGGCGGCUUUCUAAGUCAGGGGUGAAAUCCUGGAGCUCAACUCCAGAACUGCCUUUGAUACUGGAGAGCUUGAGUCCGGGAGAGGUGAGUGGAACUCCGAGUGUAGAGGUGAAAUGCGUAGAUAUCGGAAGGAACAUCAGUGGCGAAAGCGACUUCCUGGACCAAUACUGACGCUGAGGCGCGAAAGCUAGGGGAGCAAACGGG
rnacentral:rRNA from 1 species